AGAGUUUGAUCCUGGCUCAGGAUGAACGCUAGCGGCAGGCUUAACACAUGCAAGUCGAGGGGCAGCGCGGGUAGCAAUACUUGGCGGCGACCGGCGGAAGGGUGCGUAACGCGUGAGCAACAUGCCCGUGUCAGGGGGAUAAUCCAGGGAAACUUGGUCUAAUACCCCAUAGUAAUUUUGAGGGACAUCCCUUAGGAUUUAAAUUUUCGGAGGACACGGAUUGGCUCGCGUGACAUUAGCUAGAUGGUAGGGUAACGGCCUACCAUGGCAACGAUGUCUAGGGGUUCUGAGAGGAAGAUCCCCCACACUGGAACUGAGACACGGUCCAGACUCCUACGGGAGGCAGCAGUGAGGAAUAUUGGACAAUGGAUGGAAAUCUGAUCCAGCCAUGCCGCGUGCAGGAAGACGGCCCUAUGGGUUGUAAACUGCUUUUGUAUGGGAGCAAUAAGGUUCAUGCGUGGGCCGAUGAGAGUACCAUACGAAUAAGGAUCGGCUAACUCCGUGCCAGCAGCCGCGGUAAUACGGAGGAUCCGAGCGUUAUCCGGAUUUAUUGGGUUUAAAGGGUGCGUAGGCGGUUGAUUAAGUCAGCGGUGAAAUUUUCCAGCUCAACUGGGACACUGCCGUUGAUACUGACCAGCUUGAAUAUGGUUGCUGUGGGUGGAAUGUGUGGUGUAGCGGUGAAAUGCUUAGAUAUCACACAGAAUAUCGAUUGCGAAGGCAGCUCACAAAGCCAUUAUUGACGCU
rnacentral:rRNA from 1 species